AACGAACGCUGGCGGCAUGCCUAACACAUGCAAGUCGAACGAGAUCUUCGGGUCUAGUGGCGCACGGGUGCGCAACGCGUGGGAAUCUGCCCUUUGGUUCGGAAUAACAGUUGGAAACGACUGCUAAUACCGGAUGAUGACGAAAGUCCAAAGAUUUAUCGCCAGAGGAUGAGCCGGCGUAGGAUUAGCUAGUUGGUGUGGUAAAGGCGCACCAAGGCGACGAUCCUUAGCUGGUCUGAGAGGAUGAUCAGCCACACUGGGACUGAGACACGGCCCAGACUCCUACGGGAGGCAGCAGUGGGAAAUAUUGGACAAGGGGCGAAAGCCUGAUCCAGCAAUGCCGCGUGAGUGAUGAAGGCCUUAGGGUUGUAAAGCUCUUUUACCCGGGAUGAUAAUGACAGUACCGUGAGAAUAAGCUCCGGCUAACUCCGUGCCAGCAGCCGCGGUAA
rnacentral:rRNA from 1 species